rnacentral:rRNA from 1 species
UCCUACGGGACGCAGCAGUGGGGAAUAUUGGGCAAUGGGCGCAAGCCUGACCCAGCAACGCCGCGUGAAGGAAGAAGGCUUUCGGGUUGUAAACUUCUUUUAUGAGGGACGAAAGAAAUUACGGUACCUCAUGAAUAAGCCACGGCUAACUACGUGCCAGCAGCCGCGGUAAUACGUAGGUGGCAAGCGUUAUCCGGAUUUACUGGGUGUAAAGGGCGUGUAGGCGGGACUGCAAGUCAUAUGUGAAAAUUAUGGGCUCCACCCAUAACCUGCAUUUGGAACUGGAGUUCUUGAG